CUACAUCCUCCAGACCAUCCCAGAAGAUCUAAUAAGAUUCCAUCUGGGAAAUCACUAGGAGUUCUUAGAAGGGAAAGAAGGAAGAUUAUUGGUUGGAAUAAAAACAGGGUUGAAUGAGUUCCAGAAAGCAGGCUUCUCAAACUCGUGGACAACAAUCUGCAGAGGAAGACAACUUCAAAAAA